UACAGAGGGGGCUAGCGUUGCUCGGAAUCACUGGGCGUAAAGGGUGCGUAGGCGGGUUCUUAAGUCAGAGGUGAAAUCCUGGAGCUCAACUCCAGAACUGCCUUUGAUACUGAAGAUCUUGAGUUCGGGAGAGGUGAGUGGAACUGCGAGUGUAGAGGUGAAAUUCGUAGAUAUUCGGAAGAACACCAGUGGCGAAGGCGACUCACUGGACACAUAUUGACGCUGAGGUGCGAAAGCGUGGGGAGCAAACAGGG
rnacentral:rRNA from 1 species